GAGAGGAGCCAGAGACAGCAGCUGCUCAGAAUCCAGACCUGUACUUUUGUGUUGGGACUCUACCUUGUUUUGUGCUUUGUGAUCAUAAGGAACUGGCCAGGUGCCCCUGAUCCACCACGGAUUUCCUGUAUCUAUUCGAUGGCGAGCUUCGAUCCCAAGCCAGGAGCCUGAAGAAAUCCCAACCCUUUGUCAACAUCCCAUGGUCUGGUAGGAGGCUUAGCAGCCUGCUCACUCUCCUACCUUCUCACUACUGAGCCCUUUCACAUCCACCUACUCCCCCUCUGGACAAUUUGCGCGUUGGAAACUACCCCCCUCGAACAAUAAAAGCCCCAAAUGAACAAUUGCGUUCAGUAUGCGUUUGGAGCCACCCAAAUGCUUGGUCGGACCUUGGGAUCCAUUUUGUUUUCUUUUUCUAGUUUGAUUUAUUGAACUUCAUGAAAAACAGAAGCAAUUGUAUUGUUGACUGGUUGUUGUUCUUUUGAUUGAUUGAUUAAUCUGUGCACAGAAAUUACUGCAGUUUGUAAAUACGUUUUGCUUUAUUUUGUUAACAUUCUUAUAAUAUAUUUCCA
ensembl:lncRNA